GGCUCAGGAUUAACGCUGGCGGCGUGCCUAACACAUGCAAGUCGAACGAAAUAUCUUCGGAUAUUUAGUGGCGAACGGGUGAGUAAUGUACAGGUAAUGUACCUUCGUACUGCGAAUAACAAGCUGAAAAGUUUGCUAAUACGGAAUAGUUUCAUUAGGGGGCAUCCUUUGAUGAAUAAAGAUUUAUCGUGCGGAGAUCAGCCUGUAUCCUAUUAGUUAGUUGGUGGGGUAAUGGCCUACCAAGACCGACGAUGGGUAACUGGUCUGAGAGGAUGAGCAGUCACAUUGGAACUGAGAUACGGUCCAAACUCCUACGGGAGGCAGCAGUGAGGAAUUUUGCGCAAUGGGGGAAACCCUGAACCGCAGCAACGCCGCGUGAGUGAAGACGGCCUUCGGGUUGUAAAGCUCUGUCGUGUAUGACGAGUAGGGACGGUAAUACACAAGGAAGCCUCGGCUAACUACGUGCCAGCAGCCGC
rnacentral:rRNA from 1 species